rnacentral:rRNA from 1 species
GACGAACGCUGGCGGCGUGCUUAACACAUGCAAGUCGAGCGGUAAGGCCCUUUCGGGGGUACACGAGCGGCGAACGGGUGAGUAACACGUGGGUGACCUGCCCACAGCUCUGGGAUAAGCCUGGGAAACUGGGUCUAAUACUGGAUAUGACUCCACGGUGCAUGUCGUGGGGUGGAAAGCCUUGUGCGGCUGAGGAUGGGCCCGCGGCCUAUCAGCUUGUUGGUGGGGUGANGGCCUACCAAGGCGACGACGGGUAGCCGGCCUGAGAGGGCGACCGGCCACACUGGGACUGAGACACGGCCCAGACCCCUACGGGAGGCAGCAGUGGGGAAUCUUGCGCAAUGGGCGAAGGCCUGACGCAGCGACGCCGCGUG